AGCGAGUCUGAAUAGGGCGUUUAGUAUUUGGUCGUAGACCCGAAACCAGGUGAUCUACCCUUGGUCAGGUUGAAGUUCAGGUAACACUGAAUGGAGGACCGAACCGACUUACGUUGAAAAGUGAGCGGAUGAACUGAGGGUAGCGGAGAAAUUCCAAUCGAACCUGGAGAUAGCUGGUUCUCUCCGAAAUAGCUUUAGGGCUAGCCUCAAGUGAUGAUUAUUGGAGGUAGAGCACUGUUUGGACGAGGGGCCCCUCUCGGGUUACCGAA
rnacentral:rRNA from 1 species